UAACAAGGUUUCCGUAGGUGAACCUGCGGAAGGAUCAUUGUCG
rnacentral:rRNA from 2 species